CUAAGGCUCCAGAGGAAGCCACGGCUAACUCUGUGCCAGCAGCCGCGGUAAUACAGAGGCGGCAAGCGUUGUUCGGAAUUAUUGGGCGUAAAGAGCACGUGGGCGGCCUUGCAAGUCAGUUGUGAAAGCCUUCCGCUUAACGGAAGAAUGCCAGCUGAUACUACAGGGCUUGAGUACGGGAGGGGAGAGUGGAACUUCUGGUGGAGCGGUGAAAUGCGUAGAUAUCAGAAGGAACGCCGGCGGCGAAAGCGACUCUCUGGCCCGAAACUGACGCUGAGUGUGCGAAAGCUAGGGGAGCAAACGGGAUUAGAUACCCCGGUAGUCCUAGCCGUAAA
rnacentral:rRNA from 1 species